AGGAAGCGCCCGCGGCGGGCGGGCCGGGCUGCGGGGUGCGGGGCCGCGGCGGCGCAGAGAGAAGGGGAAGCCAGACCCAGCUGCACGUCCUUCCUGCACUUCCAGCCAAGGAAGCUCCAGGGGAAGCAGAGGGAGCAUCCAGAGCGAGGGCUGGACCUGUCUGUGAAGCAUCUUCCCUCGUGACCCGCACUCCUUGGUCAGCAGUGACAUAAAUGGCUCGACUCCCUGCUGGCAUCCGCUUCCUAGUCUCAUUCUCAAGGGACCAGUGGUACCGAGCCUUCAUUUUUGUUUUGACAUUUUUGCUGUACGCAAGUUUUCACUUAUCACGAAAGCCCAUCAGCAUCGUCAAGGGCGAGCUCCACGAGUACUGCGAGGCCUCCCGCGAGGGGCACGUCAGGUUGAGCAGCCGGAGCAGGCAGAGCGGCCCCGUCCCGCCCCAGCCAGGCGCAGACAACGAGACCCACUGUGGCUGGGCCCCGUUCGAUAAGGACAACUACCAGCAGCUGCUCGGGGCCCUGGAUUACUCCUUCCUGUGCACCUAUGCCGUCGGGAUGUAUCUGAGUGGCAUAAUAGGGGAGCGCCUGCCGAUUAGGUACUACCUGACUUCCGGGAUGCUCGCCAGCGGGGCCUUUACUGCCCUGUUUGGAUUGGGCUAUUUCUACGAUAUUCACAGUUUUGGAUUCUACGUGGUGGCUCAGGUUGCCAAUGGGCUGGUGCAGACCACCGGCUGGCCCAGCGUGGUCACCUGCCUCGGCAACUGGUUUGGCAAAGGAAGGCGAGGCUUGAUCAUGGGGGUGUGGAACUCCCACACCUCCGUGGGCAACAUCCUGGGGUCCCUGAUCGCUGGCUACUGGGUGUCCACGUGCUGGGGCCUGUCCUUCGUCGUGCCGGGGGCCAUCGUGGCAGCCAUGGGGCUCGUGUGCUUCCUCUUCCUCAUCGAGCAUCCCAGAGACCUCCGGUUCUCCUCCAGCCGGCCCACGCAUCCAAAAGCCUACGAGAAUGGGACAAACAGAUUAAGACUCCAGAAGCCAGUGUCAGCCCAGGAAAAGAGCAAGCCCACGGACCCGGAGAUGCAGUGCCUGCUGCUGUCAGACGGGAGCGGGUGCACCCACCCAAACCACGUCAUCAUCCUCCCGGCCGAGGGCGGGAGCGGGGUGGCUGCCAUCAGCUUCGGAGGAGCCUUGAAAAUCCCAGGCGUGGUCGAGUUCUCUCUGUGCCUGCUGUUCGCCAAGCUGGUCAGCUACACCUUCCUCUUCUGGCUGCCGCUGUACAUCACGAGCGUAGAUCACCUUGAUGCCAAAAAAGCCGGGGAGCUCUCCACCUUGUUUGACGUUGGUGGAAUCUUUGGUGGAGUCCUGGCUGGCGUGGUCUCGGAUCGGCUGCAGAAAAGGGCCUCCACCUGCGGCCUGAUGCUGCUGCUGGCGGCCCCCACGCUCUACAUGUUCUCCGCCAUCAGCAGAAUGGGCCUCGAGGCCACAGUAGCCAUGCUGCUGCUCAGCGGGGCCCUGGUCAGCGGGCCGUACGCGCUCAUCACCACCGCCGUCUCCGCUGACCUGGGGACUCAUAAGAGUCUGAAGGGAAACUCGCAUGCCCUGGCCACCGUGACGGCGAUCAUCGACGGGACCGGCUCUGUAGGAGCAGCCCUGGGUCCCCUGCUGGCCGGGCUCAUCUCCCCCUCGGGAUGGAACAACGUGUUCUACAUGCUGAUGUUUGCCGACGCCUGUGCCUUAUUGGCCUUCCACUGCAGAGUUCCCACACCCACAGCCAUGCCUCUCCUCUCUCUUUUUUUUUCCCCACCAGAGAAGAACUGAUAUUGAUCCAAUUGAAAGUGAGUUGAGGGUUUUGUGAAUAUCAAUCCCAUCUAGUAAAUGAAAGUUUUCUGUUUUACUUCCAAGAAGUCCUAAAACACAGCUCCCCUGCUGCAUUCAGGAUCAAAUGCCAACUUCCUACUGAUAAACCUGAUAGGGUUACAGAGGCUCUUCCUCAGACUGUUUGUUUUCAGAAUGACAGGGCUUUUGGUCAAGUCCCCAGAGGUGUUUCCACUAAGCGGCAGGGAAAUUUCUAUCAUUAUGACCAUUCAGAGACUGAAAAUUCCUCUACUUCAGAAAUACUGCGUGAUAUAUAUUGAAUAUCCCCUUAAAUGCGUAGGCAGACUCACAAGAAGAUGAGAGGGAAAUCCCAGGAGCAAAACUGUAGAGGCAACAUAAAACAGAGAGACACGCUGAUCUAUGCAGCAGCCUGGUUUGGCGGAGGGGAUGCGGCCGUUACCAGUCUCGGGAAUCCAGGGUUGGGUGGUUCUGCGCAUGGAGAAUAAGAGACAUGGAGCUGGGCUGGCACAAGAUGUACAGGAUUCCCACAGCCCACGCCUGCUGGAGAUGGCUUCAUAAUCCCAAAUCACGGAAUGUGAGGAAACAGUCCCCUGUGAAUGAGGGGGAGCAGGUGCAAUAAAUGCUCUCUUUAGCCUGAAUUCAAAUGUGGGGCUUUUAAGCUCCUACUUGAACCGCAGCAUCUAAGAAAAUAGAAACGUCUCUGCCUUCUAGAGCUUUGACUGAGGCUCCCUGGAGCCAAUGUGGUGGUGUUUUGUCUUAGUUUACCCCUCGAGCUCCCCUCCAGUACCCACGGCUCUGGCCUCCCCCGUCCCUUGGCCCAGGGUCUAUCCUGGCUGCGGCCAAUAGAAGCCGGGACUUCCUGGUGGCCCUACUUCAGAGCCUCAGGACACAGCCCGUGCUGUGGGGGUCGGGGCAGCCCCUGCUGCGGGGCUGGUGCAGCGCCUGGGGGAGGGUCAGGUCCACACCUGCAAGUGCAGGGAAAACCUCUCACACUCUGUGUGACACCUGCUCUCUGGUCUGGGUGUCUGCACUUCCUCUAAGCCCUUCUAAUGUUUAAGGAACCCUGGAGGGAAAUCCCGGGGCCAGGAAGGAGCCAAGGUGAAAGAGUCCCCCUGGUUUACGGCAGAAGCUUCCAGAUGGAGCACCUGUUCCAGAGGUGACCCCCAGGCUGAUGUUCACCUCCCAGCGCUCGGGCCUCCCAGUGCUACCGCGGUCUGCACGUCGCCUCGCCACUGCGCUCUGUCUUUUCCCAACGUGGGCGUUGUGUCAUCGGACUAAUUCUAUUUUAGACGCCACUUGGUCCAGAAGUAAUUCAGGCUGGCGUCCGUCCUGAAGGCCUCUUUCCAGGGGCUGGGCCUCAGCAGAUCCUUGUAGGACUUAGUAAGAAGCCGCCGCACCCUCUUUACGCUCUCCGUCCUUAGAAAAUGGGUCUCUGGGAGCCGGACACGCUCCUCCACGACUCGUACCCGGGAAGGAGAGGGCCGCAGACUGGGGGUGGCGCGGGGGCAUCUGCCCGCCCGGGCCUGGUGGCAGUAACGGGCCGUGUCUUUGUCCGGUGCAGUGUCUGAUCCGCCUCAUGCACCGGGAGCUGCGCUGUGUGGGGCCGGCGCCGGGGGACCAGGUUCCGCUGAAGGAGCACUGACCACCUCGCUCCAGGGAGCACGCCCGGCCCGCCUCACACGCUGUCUUUCCAGGGAACGUUUGAAUAAAGGAUCCCGUGUUGAGGCGCACGCUUUCCCCUUGCACUUUGCACCUGCACCUGGAAAAGGCACCCAUGAAAACUCGACAAUUCCUGGUACUCUUUUAAACUGGACGUAGCUAGCGCCUCAAGGCGGCAGGGAGAGGAGGUGACAGCAGCUGCUGCCUGGCCCCGUGACCGAGCCGGGAAAAGGAGCCGACUCAGACAAGUGCCUCCCCAGGCGCCUCUCGUCCCGUCCGGGGCAGCCUGGACCCGUGGUGCUCAGGUGAAGACCCGUCUCUCUCAGGUAUCUCAGUGACAGAAUGUGACAGCCGUGAGCUUGCCGUGCCAGCUGGGACCGGGACAACAUGGUGUCUGCCAUUUCCAGGAAACGCAUGAAAAUACCCACCAGGACAGAGGGCAGCGUUAGGGAGCAAACAGCUGAGCUCAACUCGCAACUUCCUCAGGAAAACCUGACAGCGAAUCGCAAACCAAGACAGAACCUGGACCCACGUCACCCAAAAGACUGCCAGAUGGGCCUGUCCUGACCCACAGCGUAACUGAGGUGUGAACGCACGAGGCUCCUACGCCGGCCCACUGGGCUGAGCACGUCAGGAAACGCCCGCCGUGGAACUCUGGUCGUUCCGGAAGCUUUGUGUUUGCUGCCACGCUCAGGGCCAUACUGCCAUCGUCCGCGGUCCCCAAAGCUGCUGGUCCCCUGCAGAGGGGACAAGGGGAGGGGUCGAGGGGAGGAGCCAGAGGCCCAGGUGUUGGGGAGGGGUCACAGCUGUGGGGGGUCACAGCCGAGCCAUGGUGACGGCCGCCAGCUCAGCAGCUUGCUUCCCUCCAAGACACACACAGACGCCCGGGGUCGUUUUUAGGUACACAGAGUGGAUUUUAUUUAUUGAAAAUGUGUAAUGUAUUAUGUGACUUUUAAGCAACGCAAAUGACAUUUUGUUAUUUAUUAAGAUGAGCUCCACUCCUCUGGCCGUUUGUUUCCUCGACUGUUGCCCAGAGAAAUACUUACCUGCUCUUUGAAAUAAAAUGUUUUUUUAAAAAAACACCAAACUCCAGCAGAA